rnacentral:rRNA from 1 species
AUGAAUUUCUUUUUUUUCUUACGGGAAAAACUUUCGAUCUAUUCAUCAACUGUCAAGGUAGUACAAAGAACACCAGCAAUAAUCGUUAUGUACAGGACCGUAGACCAAGUAGCGACGACUACAAAUGAAUUUCACUACAAAUUAGGCGUCAGAUUUUUUUUUAAAAAAUUUAUUUUGCGGAAGAAACGUUCAAGAGUUUCUUUGGUUUGGCAAGCGUGGCGACUAAAGGAAAUUACCGUAACAUUUGGUUUGUCACGGUUAAAAAUCCGAUGUUGCCGCUACAAAUUUGGUAGACAUCACGCGGUCGGUCUACGGGAAAGUGUGCAGAUCCUUGGAUUCCAGCGAGCUGACUGGACCGCGGGAAUUGGCCGGACGGUGGCAAAAAAGCUGACAGCUGACAUGGAAGGGGAUCCUUCGGCCGCGUCCGUCCCCUGUGUGUACGCGUAG